rnacentral:rRNA from 1 species
UACGAAGGGGGCUAGCGUUGUUCGGAAUUACUGGGCGUAAAGCGCACGUAGGCGGAUUGUUAAGUUAGGGGUGAAAUCCCAGGGCUCAACCCUGGAACUGCCUUUAAUACUGGCAAUCUCGAGUCCGAGAGAGGUGAGUGGAAUUCCGAGUGUAGAGGUGAAACUCGUAGAUAUUCGGAGGAACACCAGUGGCGAAGGCGGCUCACUGGCUCGGUACUGACGCUGAGGUGCGAAAGCGUGGGGAGCAAACAGG